AGCGAACGCUGGCGGCAGGCCUAACACAUGCAAGUCGAACGAACCUUUCGGGGUUAGUGGCGGACGGGUGAGUAACACGUGGGAACGUGCCUUUAGGUUCGGAAUAACUCAGGGAAACUUGUGCUAAUACCGAAUGUGUCCUUCGGGGGAAAGAUUUAUCGCCUUUAGAGCGGCCCGCGUCUGAUUAGCUAGUUGGUUGAGGUAAUGGCUCACCAAGGCGACGAUCAGUAGCUGGUCUGAGAGGAUGAUCCGCAACAUUGGGACUGAGACACGGCCCAAACUCCUACGGGAGGCAGCAGUGGGGAAUCUUGCGCAAUGGGCGAAAGACUGACGCAGCCAUGCCGCGUGAAUGAUGAAGGUCUUAGGAUUGUAAAAUUCUUUCGCCGGGGACGAUAAUGACGGUACCCGGAGAAGAAGCCCCGGCUAACUUCGUG
rnacentral:rRNA from 1 species